UCCCAUUCCUGUUAGCCAAAGGAAAAGAGGUCUGGCUGGGGUUGAAUGCAGGGGACCUGUUGGGUCCUGCCUUCCUCCACUGAAGGCUCAUUUCCUUGGGGCCUCUGCUGUAGCCUCAGCGACUGAAAGGCUGUUGGAGGACUGUUUGCAGAUUGUGUCCUGGGAUGGGUUAUCUCUUUGGCCUUGGUUGCAGUGCUGUUUUUGGCAAGCACCGGCAGGAACAGUGUGCAGAUUGUUCUAAUUUGUGCUGGGGACUCUGCGUGUCUCUACGAAUGAGGUGCAUCUUUGAACACUCCCUCUACUGAACUGAGUGCUUCUGGUUUGCAUUUCUUCAAGUAUGUGGGACCAGGACUGAACCUACGAAGAUUGUGGAGCUUCCAAAAUUGCUUCAGGACUAUCCAAGCCGACUUUAUGAAGCAUUGAAGUUUUGUGUCGCUCUGUGGGCUGUGCAGAAUCAGAGGCUAACUUCAGCAGGGUUUGCUUUUUGAUCCAGUAAUACAAUAGAAGGUAUAGGCCCUGCUAUGGAGACCUGACUCUGUAACACUCUGUGGAAGAUGCCCAACCUUGGAAAAGAGAAGAAUUAGGUGCCUUAUUCCCAAGGCUGUGGCUUGUCUGCAGUGCAAUCGCUCCAGGCAUUCGCUGUUAGCUGCAGUGCAGUGAGCUCUCUGAAAAAUACCUCAUCUGAAGAACAGCCACUCUAGACACUUCUUAAUUUUUUUUCCCGGUAUGCAUCUUAUUCUAAUCUUCUCCCCUCAGAUGAGGGGAAGAUGUCUGCAAUCUCUUUUUUAGCAUUUUUCCCUCAGUUAAUCAUUUGUCUAGAGUAACUGGUGCUGCGGUAUUAUGAGACUUAGGAUAAAAUCCCAAACACAAAUUUGCAAAUAUUGAGCGUCUGAUCAGAUUUUGAGUUUCAGUUGCCAGAGAUUUCCAGUGAAUCUUUCGUAUCCAAAGGCAUGAGGAUUUUGUUUGUUGUUUGUUUUUUAGUGGAAGAGCAUGGGCACGUAGAACAAACUGGAAUCAGUUCCCUCAUCCAAAUGACGGGAUAUUAGGGAAAAGCUGCAAACUCUUGGCAAGUCACUUCAGAGCUGUUCCUUCCCUACCAUCUCAUAGGAAAGU